GAUGAACGCUGGCGGCGUGCCUAAUACAUGCAAGUCGAGCGAACAGACGAGGAGCUUGCUCCUCUGACGUUAGCGGCGGACGGGUGAGUAACACGUGGAUAACCUACCUAUAAGACUGGGAUAACUUCGGGAAACCGGAGCUAAUACCGGAUAAUAUAUUGAACCGCAUGGUUCAAUAGUGAAAGACGGUUUUGCUGUCACUUAUAGAUGGAUCCGCGCCGCAUUAGCUAGUUGGUAAGGUAACGGCUUACCAAGGCAACGAUGCGUAGCCGACCUGAGAGGGUGAUCGGCCACACUGGAACUGAGACACGGUCCAGACUCCUACGGGAGGCAGCAGUAGGGAAUCUCCCGCAAUGGGCGAAAGCCUGACGGAGCAACGCCGCGUGAGUGAUGAAGGUCUUCGGAUCGUAAAACUCUGUUAUUAGGGAAGAACAAAUGUGUAAGUAACUAUGCACGUCUUGACGGUACCUAAUCAGAAAGCCACGGCUAACUACGUG
rnacentral:rRNA from 1 species